rnacentral:tRNA from 1 species
GGGCCCGUAGCUCAGUCCGGAUUAGAGCGCCUCCCUUGCAAGGAGGAGGCCUCGGGUUCGAAUCCCGACGGGUCCA